GGGUCCGGACACACUGAGGAUUGACAGGCGCUUGUAGUUAUGAGAUUAUUAAUUUAUUAAUAAUUAAAUUUCUGCUAUAAAUAUGCUAGUCCUUUCAUGAUUGUGUGAUAGGUGGUGCAUGGCCGUUCUUAGUUCGUGGAGUGAUCUGUCUGCUUAAUUGCGUUUCACUGUGGACGUUGUUAUAAUAGUGUGUGCACGCAUAACUUCGGUUAUGUUGUUGCCUACUGUUCCAAAUGUCCUGAAGGCAACGAACGUGACCGCAACCUCUUGUUGCCUCUUCCAAAUACUUAUUUUAUUAUCUUUUUUGAUAAUUGAGAUCGGUUUAUAGAGGCUAACUAGAGGGACCGCUGACAACUUUUAAAACAGAGGAAGGUUGCGGCAAUAACAGGUCUGUGAUGCCCUUAGAUGUUCCGGGCUGCACACGUGCUACAAUGAUUAUUGCACUGAGCAUCUAAUUUUAUUAAAAGUUCGUUUGGUUUAAUUUGAUCUUAACAGAUUAAAUAAAACUAACGACAUUUCCUACUUCAAAAGUAAGUAGGU
rnacentral:rRNA from 1 species